rnacentral:rRNA from 1 species
AGAGUUUGAUCAUGGCUCAGGACGAACGCUGGCGGCGUGCUUAACACAUGCAAGUCGAACGGAAAGGCCCUUCGGGGUGCUCGAGUGGCGAACGGGUGAGUAACACGUGGGUGAUCUGCCCUGCACUUUGGGAUAAGCCUGGGAAACUGGGUCUAAUACCGAAUAGGACUCCGGACUGCAUGGUCUGGGGUGGAAAGCUUUUGCGGUGUGGGAUGGGCCCGCGGCCUAUCAGCUUGUUGGUGGGGUGAUGGCCUACCAAGGCGACGACGGGUAGCCGGCCUGAGAGGGUGACCGGCCACACUGGGACUGAGAUACGGCCCAGACUCCUACGGGAGGCAGCAGUGGGGAAUAUUGCACAAUGGGCGCAAGCCUGAUGCAGCGACGCCGCGUGAGGGAUGACGGCCUUCGGGUUGUAAACCUCUUUCAGCACAGACGAAGCGCGAGUGACGGUAUGUGCAGAAGAAGGACCGGCCAACUACGUGCCAGCAGCCGCGGUAAUACGUAGGGUCCGAGCGUUGUCCGGAAUUACUGGGCGUAAAGGGCGCGUAGGCGGACAUUUAAGUCAGAGGUGAAAGCCCAGGGCUCAACCUUGGAAUUGCCUUUGAUACUGGAUGUCUUGAGUUCGGGAGAGGUGAGUGGAAUGCCGAGUGUAGAGGUGAAAUUCGUAGAUAUUCGGCGGAACACCAGUGGCGAAGGCGACUCACUGGCCCGAUACUGACGCUGAGGCGCGAAAGCGUGGGGAGCAAACAGGAUUAGAUACCCUGGUACUCCAA